AUUGAACGCUGGCGGCAUGCUUUACACAUGCAAGUCGAACGGUAACAGGUUAAGCUGACGAGUGGCGAACGGGUGAGUAAUGCAUCGGAACGUGCCCGGUCGGGGGGGAUAACGCAGCGAAAGCUGCGCUAAUACCGCAUACGAUCUGAGGAUGAAAGCGGGGGACCGUAAGGCCUCGCGCGAUCGGAGCGGCCGAUGUCAGAUUAGGUAGUUGGUGGGGUAAAGGCUCACCAAGCCGACGAUCUGUAGCUGGUCUGAGAGGACGACCAGCCACACUGGGACUGAGACACGGCCCAGACUCCUACGGGAGGCAGCAGUGGGGAAUUUUGGACAAUGGGCGCAAGCCUGAUCCAGCAAUGCCGCGUGCAGGAGGAAGGCCUUCGGGUUGUAAACUGCUUUUGUACGGAGCGAAAAGGUCUUCCCUAAUACGGGAGGCUGAUGACGGUACCGUAAGAAUAAGCACCGGCUAACUACGUGCCAGCAGCCGCAGUAAAAC
rnacentral:rRNA from 1 species